UACGUAGGGUGCGAGCGUUGUCCGGAUUUAUUGGGCGUAAAGAGCUCGUAGGCGGUUUGUCGCGUCGGCCGUGAAAUCUCCACGCUUAACGUGGAGCGUGCGGUCGAUACGGGCAGACUUGAGUUCGGUAGGGGAGACUGGAAUUCCUGGUGUAGCGGUGAAAUGCGCAGAUAUCAGGAGGAACACCGGUGGCGAAGGCGGGUCUCUGGGCCGAUACUGACGCUGAGGAGCGAAGGCGUGGGGAGCGAACAGG
rnacentral:rRNA from 1 species